AUAGUAUUACAAUAUGGUGGAAUAACACUCAAGUAUAUUAACCAUUAUUAAUUAUUAUUGUAUUGAUGAUAUGCUUAGUACUAUUCUACUAUACCAGUUCCUCCUACUCAGUAUUACAUUAUUAGUGUAUACAAUACAUCAAACAGUAUUAUAUACACUAAUAAUACUAAUGAUACUAAUAUUACUAUCACUGGACUACCUCUUACUGAUACAAACUACACUGUUACUAUCAUUCCUGUUAAUGUUAUUGGAUAUGGACCAUCAGCUACUGUUAAUGUCAAUAUAUCUGCUAUAAUGACCAGUAGUUCAAUUACUAGUGCAUCAUCAUCAGGUCUGUACAGUUAAUACAUUAUUCAUUAAUACAUGAUAUAUUGUACAUUAUUCGUUACAUUAACUACUGAUAUAAGUACCAGUACACCAGUAUUGUAUAUACCAUCUACUUCAAGUAGGUUUAAUAUUAAUCAUGAUAAAUAGUUACAGUAUCAGCUUCCAGCACUGACUCAUCAUCACAUACUAAUACAGUAACAAGCUCAUCAUCUACCACUGGAUUCACUACUGCUCCUACAACUGUUAGAUCAACACUGACAUUAUCAACUAUGAUAACACCCAGUACCAGUACUGCUACUGCUUCUAAUGCUGUUCCUAUUAUAUCAGGAGCUAUUGGAACAGUAUUUGUUAUAAUAAUAAUUAUUAUUACUGCACUAAUAAUAAUACUGGUGAUCAAGAAACAAAAAAGUAAGUGCUUUAUUGGUUUGAUUUUUAUCAUUUUUUCUACUACAUGCAGAUACUAACAGAGCAUCUAAAAAGCAAGUUAUUAAAUAACAAUUAUCAUUAUUGUUAUGAGCAAACACACAUUAGGAUCAGUACUGAUGGAGCAGUUACUCCUACAUAUGAUGAGAUCAUUGUUAAACCAACUACUACUACUGGAGUACCAAUAUAUGAUACACCAAUGGAACUACAGGCUAAUACUGCUUAUGGACCAAUUAAUAAUAAAGAUAUAAUUAAUGUACAUAAUAAUGAUGCGUAUGGACAAAUAAUGAUGUAGUAUAGUCUCUUUUUAUAUGAACUAUUUAAAGCUGUGUGCUUACAUCAGCUAUUUUGUGUAUACACACACACAUUACAUUUAAUGUUUAUAUGUGUAGCUAAUAGCAAAAAAGAACAAGAGCAAAUAAUUAUUGGAAGUCAAUAAUAUUAUUGUCCUGAGUAAACAUUUUAUUGUUUAUUCUAGCAUAAACUGCUCAGUUCUCAUUCCUUUUAUACUAAUGGCUACUGCUGGUAUCUACUGGUGUUGAUCU